GACGAACGCUGGCGGCGUGCUUAACACAUGCAAGUCGAACGGAAAGGCCUUUCUCUUGUGGGGUGCGCGAGUGGCGAACGGGUGAGUAUCACGUGAGUAACCUGCCCUCGACUUUGGGAUAACUUUAGGAACCUGGGGCUAAUACCGGAAAGGAGCUCCUGCGGCAUGGUGGGGGUUGGAAUGUGUCGGCGGUUGUGGAUGGACUCGCGGUUUCUCAGGCGGUUGGUGGGGGAGUGUCUGACCAAGGGUUUGACGGGUAGGCGGCCGGAGAGGGUGACCGGCCACAAUAGGACUGAGGUGAGGCCCAGCCUCCUACGAGAGGAAGCAGUGGGGAAUAUUGCACCAUAGGCGGCAGCCUGAUGCAGCAACGCCGCGUGCGGGAUGAAGGCCUUCGAGUUGUAAACAGCUUUCGCCUGUGACGAAGAGUGAGUGACGGUAAUGGGUAAAGAAGCACCGGCUAACUACGUG
rnacentral:rRNA from 1 species